GAGUUUGGGUUCAGGUUGCAGCCUCCGGGCAGUGCUUACCUCAGGCAGCUCCUGGGAAGCAGCUGACAUGUCUGGCUCCUCGGUGGAGGGACAGGCAGGGGGCUCUGCGCUCUCUCCCCAUCCGCAGACGCUGCCCCUGCAGCUCCCAUUGGCUGCGGUUCCUGACCAAUGGGAGCUGCGGAGCAGGCAGGCAGGGCAGGGGCAGUGCGCAGAUCCCCUGUGGCCGCCCCUGCACCUUGGAGCUGGACAUGCUGCUGCUUCAGGGAAAAAGAGUUUUUAAACAAAGCUUUAAAGAUUUUGUUUAAGCAACAUGGGGUACACCAUUUUGUUACCAAUAAUGAAGUCAAGGCUGGGGUUGUGGAGAGGUUUAACAGAACUUUAAAAUCAAAGAUGUGGAGGUAUUUUACUGCCCGUAGCACCUUUUGAUACAUCAACGUGCUGCGGGCCAUCAUAGACAGUUACAACAGAAGUUAUCACAGAACUAUCAGAGGACGCCCGAUCAACGUGACACACACUAACGUGCUGAGCAUGUGGAAAACCGUCUAUGGGGAUAGUUUUAAAAUAAAGGCACCAUCAGUGAUUUUUAAGAACAGCGAUCACAAAAGGGUAUCUAAAACGAAGGGUACUUUUGAAAAGGGAUAUUAGCAAACCUUUACUGAUGAAAUAUUUACUGUAUCUGGGGUUUUAUUACGAGGACAGUGGCCUAUGUACGCAUUAAAAGAUUAUGGAGAAGAGGAGGUCGCAGGAAGUCUUUUUACCCUGAAGAAUUACAAAAAGUAAACCCUAACCAGGACCGUGUUUACAGGGUAGAAAAGAUUCUAGUGAAGAAAGGACAGGAAAGAAUGAGUAUUUUUUGAUGAAAUGGAGAGGAUGGCCUUAAAAAUUUAACAGUUGGGUUAAAGCGUCUCAAGUUCAAGACCUCUAAUAAAGGGAAAAAAUGACUGAAGUGGGUUAUGUUAACUUGCCCAGCAAAGCCUCUGCAGGGGCUUUUCCUCAUAAUAGUCUGGCCAACAGGAGGGUUUUAUAAAGAGAUGGUGGGGGCCCACGAAAGCACCAUUUUGGAUGGCACAGGUAAUGAGGGGUCUAUGCGCAAGCCCAGACUAAUGGCCGGCAGCAAGAAGCUGGAUUUUUUGGGGCCUACACAGUGAUUUGCUUUUUCAAGGAAAACUACUGCUGAAUGGCGUGGACUUGAAAAUUAAACUGACGCAUAGCAAAGAUGGUUUUUGCCUUGUGAGAGGGAAUGCCAACCAGAAUUAUAAAGUGCAUAUUACUUCAGUGUCCCUGUUUGUAAAACAGGUGAAAGUGACACCAGGGGUUCGCUUGGAGCAUGUGGAAGCUCUAAUGACCGCCAGUGCUAAGUACCCGGUAGACAGGAUGGACAUAAAGAUGUUUAGAAUUCUGGCCGGCAGUUGUCAGUAACCAGGAAAACCUUUUUUUGGGACAGUUACCCACACAGUUCAUAAUCAGGUUUAUCGAUAACGAUGCCUUCAACGACAACUAUGCUAAAAACCCUUUUAACUUUAAACAUUAUAACAUAAAUUUUGUGGCCUUGUAUGUGGAUGGUGAACAGGGGCCAGCGAAACCCCUACGACCCGAUUUUGAGAAUGGAAACUGCAUGAGGGAGUACAUACAGCUCGUGCAGGCGAUUGGGAAAUAUGUAAAAGACGGAUCACUCUUGAAUGACCAUCGUGAAUUUGCCCAGGCUAACACGCUGUACGCUUUCAAUCUGACCCCGGACUAGGAGUGCGCUAAUCAUUAUUCUCUGAUUAAAACUGGAAACCUGAGAGCGGAGAUUCGGUUUGCAACGGUGCUGCUCUCUACGGUUAACAUGAUAGUGUAUGGGGUUUUUGAUAAUAUGCUUGAAGUGAAUCAUAGAAGAAAAAUCCUGUUUGACUAUAUAUGAUUAUGAACACCGUGCAGCUAAGGCAUCUUUUAUCAAAGGAUGCUUCUUUUUUAGAUGUUUUUCCUAGUGACUUGCUCCCAAAGGGGUCUGUGUCUGGAAGACCUUUGGGGCUUAUUGUUAACACGCACCCCCAUGACUUACCUGGGGAACACUGGCUGGCCCUCUAUUUACCAAAGCAGGGGCCGGGCGAGUUCUUUGAUUCCUAUGGAUUUCCCCCAGACACCCUUUAGGAGUCCUCUUGUUAGUGAAAGAAUAAAAGCUGGUUACCCCUCGACUAAAUCGAGCAUGUGAGACCCCGCAACCACUUCCCCCGGUAAACAAAACUUCCAUUAUCGGCCAAGAAGAAACAUCUUUAUGCUAUCUUGAGUUUAUUUAACACUAUUUCAGCUUUUUUCUUAUAGCGAGGAUUUACCCCCUCCAAUACCUCCCAAAUAACAAAGUCUGAUGAAUUCCUCUCGACUUCAGGAGGUCGAAUUUUCUCUUGCUCUUGCUUGGGGAGAAAGAGACUUAUUUUAGUAUUUUCCACUUCACCCUGCUUAACCAAUACCAGGUAUCUUUGCAGGACCCUCUCAUAAAGUUUAAUCUUUUCAUAGUUGGACAAAUUGUAUCUUUGAUUAAUGUCUUUCAUCUCUGAAUCCAAUUGGGGAGUGGUUGUAGUUCUGAUAUUUUCUUCACCGCUAGAAGCGCAUUUUAUUUGUUCUAACUGAUGGCUAGAAAACAAGGUACAAUUUUUCGGCAUGGUCCAUUAUCAGUUAAUUAAAAGGGCUGACAGUAGAGGGAGUGCAAAGCUCAACAAAGGACCGAUAAAGCCCCCGGCCUGUUUUACAAUUAGCUUUUUCUUUUUGAGGGAUACCCUUUUAUCGCUCAGCUUUUUAAUAAUCCCCCGUUUUCUUUUUAGUACACUUAUUUGUCGGGGUUUCAGAGGAACGUUUCCUUUUCAUGUACUGAGCGCUAUUUCUGAGAUGGUCGCUACCAGGUUGUAAGAAGCCAAGCAUAGAAUAGCCUUCCUUUGCUGGGGUUUGGCUUUGAUGAGGAAUCUUAAGAGCCAGGUUUCUCUGCACGCACCUAGACAUGAUUGUCAGGUGGGACACUUUUUUUAAAAGGGGGGUUUGAUAAAAAUAACUAUUUUUUUUGUUUUGUUUUUUUUUAAGGUGUAUACACAGGGUCAGUCUGGGGGGAGAAGGCCUGUUCUUAACCUGAAGGCUUCAGGCAUUGAAGCAUUUAAAUCCACCAGCAGGUACCCAUAGGGAUUUUUGGUAGCGUCCUCAAAAGCCUCCAGAAAGAAUUGUGUUUUACCGGGAGCAUGAACAGCAAGACCUGAAGAGGAAGAAAUUUAUGCAAAGAGGCAGCAGGACUGGGAAGGAGAACAGGUCUCAAUGUGUGCUCUGCUCAAACUGACUGAUGCACCUUAUGGUGCCUGCCAUAGUAGGAGAGUCGGGAAGGUAGAGAUUUUAGCUGUAGAGAGGGAGGGAAAAAGAGGCAGGCUAUGUCAUGGAGAUUUGUUACUGAUGUCCAGGGAACGAUUACUGCAAAAACUUAGGCACCUAGUGAGUUUAGGCACCUAUAGGGUUAGGCGAUAACUGAGUGGAGAUUUUUUGGAUCACAGUGUCACCUAAAACUGGGAUUUUAGGCCCCUAAAUUUCUUUGUAGUAUAUUCAUUUAGACCCUGGAAUGUAGCUAACUAAAGGCCUGGUCCUGUGAAGUGCUGAGUGUCUACUAAGAGGUGCUGAGCACCUUUAGCUCCCAUUGAAUUUCUGUACUCUUCCAUAGAGUCUUCUUGGAGAAAUAAGAUAGAUAAGACCUGAAUUCCUAAUGUGUAAAAUAAGAAAAAAAACAAAA